rnacentral:rRNA from 1 species
UACGUAGGGUGCGAGCGUUGUCCGGAAUUAUUGGGCGUAAAGAGCUCGUAGGCGGUGUGUCACGUCGGCCGUGAAAACCUGGGGCUUAACUCUGGGCGUGCGGUCGAUACGGGCAGACUAGAGUUCGGUAGGGGAGACUGGAAUUCCUGGUGUAGCGGUGAAAUGCGCAGAUAUCAGGAGGAACACCGGUGGCGAAGGCGGGUCUCUGGGCCGAUACUGACGCUGAGGAGCGAAAGCGUGGGGAGCGAACAGG